GCUGGUGAUGUCAUACUUGCAUGGGCUAACCAUUUGUUCGAUAACUUGAUUCCCAUUGUAAGGUGUUAAGUCGGAUCGUAUUUGUUCCGAUGAGGGUGUGGUGCGGUUUUCAGAGUUCCAAUCCUGAGGAUUUCGUACCAGUAAUAUUGCAGUGUGGUCCAGAGCAAAGGUUGAAUGGAGUACUGAGGACUUUUGGAGGGUGGCCAGUAGGAUGAGUUGGAUCUGUUCUUCAUAGCAAAGGUGAUGCCGUUGCAGAUAGGUACCUGAAGCAAAGCAUGCAAUAGCUCGUUUAUCCCUGUUUACCUUGGCACCGGAUUGAUGGACCUCUAUAUACGCAUGGAAAUAAAUAAGUUGAACUCUCUCAUUAUCUACCACGCCUUUCUAAACUUGUUUUGCUGCUAGCUUGAGAGUAUAACAGUGGAUAAUCACCAUUAGCACAAUGGGACAAGAACUCAUGAUGAAUCUGACAUAAUUCGCU